AAGAACCAUUUAGUUGGAUCGAAGUACUGAUAUUAUAUUUUUGUUUUUGAUCCAGGUAUUAUACUUUCGCUUUUUAUAAACUUUCUUUAUAAUGAGUUGUCAUGAACACUAGCUAUGGAUACAAUCUAUAUAUUCACAUGUUGAGAAACUGUAUGGUUUAGUUUAUGUGCAAUCUGCUUGCUUUCCAAUAUGCUUGGUGUGUUACUUGGAAGAUAAAAGAAUGCACAUUUGUUAUGAAAAUGUAAAAUGGUUUAUUUUUGCAUCUUUUAACUUCAUAAUUAGGAUUGUUUUCAAACUUGUUAAAUGUGGUAACUGAUUGAGUGAUAUGAUUGCAGGUGCUAAGAAAUAUUGUAAGACUGGAGAUGAGGUUUGACUCUCACUCCACACAUUCAAGGCUUGUGUAGAUUGACGGAGGAGAAUUUUGUCUAAGUUGGGAUGAAGUUUAUAAAUUUAAUGAUUUCUGAAGAGAUUGUAAAAAAUGAAAAAUACAUUACUGUUAGUGGCCAUAUUAUAAUUAUUGAAAACUUAGGGGUAGAAAACAAAAUAAAAAAAUUAAUUUUUUUCUCGAUUUGCUCGGUUUUGAACCGUGCCUAAAUUUUUGCCACGGGUCAUGUUUUUAUGUAAGUUUCCAAGUGUCAACUAGUUGUUUGAGUUCAGACUUGAAGUUUGGCAUGAUCUUGAUUUUUUU
rnacentral:lncRNA from 1 species